rnacentral:rRNA from 1 species
UAAAAACCCCGACUUCGGAAGGGGUGUAUUUAUUAGAUACAAAACCAAUGCCCUUCGGGGCUCUUUGGUGAUUCAUGAUAACUAUACGAAUCGCACGGCCUUGCGCCGGCGAUGGUUCAUUCAAAUUUCUUCCCUAUCAACUUUCGAUGUUUGGGUAUUGGCCAAACAUGGUUGCAACGGGUAACGGAGGGUUAGGGCUCGACCCCGGAGAAGGAGCCUGAGAAACGGCUACUACAUCCAAGGAAGGCAGCAGGCGCGCAAAUUACCCAAUCCCGACUCGGGGAGGUAGUGACAAUAAAUACUGAUACAGGGCCCUUUCGGGCCUUGUAAUUGGAAUGAGUACAAUUUAAAUCCCUUAACGAGGAACAAUUGGAGGGCAAGUCUGGUGCCAGCAGCCGCGGUAAUUCCAGCUCCAAUAGCGUAUAUUAAAGUUGUUGUGGUUAAAAAGCUCGUAGUUGAACCUUGGGCCUGGCUGGCCGGUCCGCCUCACCGCGUGCACUGGUCCGGCCGGGCCUUUCCCUCUGUGGAACCCCAUACCCUUCACUGGGCGUGGCGGGGAAAACAGGACAUUUACUA